rnacentral:rRNA from 1 species
AUUGAACGCUGGCGGCAUGCCUUACACAUGCAAGUCGAACGGCAGCGCGGGAGCAAUCCUGGCGGCGAGUGGCGAACGGGUGAGUAAUAUAUCGGAACGUGCCCUAGAGUGGGGGAUAACUAGUCGAAAGAUUAGCUAAUACCGCAUACGAUCUACGGAUGAAAGUGGGGGAUCGCAAGACCUCAUGCUCGUGGAGCGGCCGAUAUCUGAUUAGCUAGUUGGUAGGGUAAAAGCCUACCAAGGCCACGAUCAGUAGCUGGUCUGAGAGGACGACCAGCCACACUAGGACUGAGACACCGCCCAGACUCCUACGGGAGGCAGCAGUGGGGAAUUUUGGACAAUGGGGGAAACCCUGAUCCAGCAAUGCCGCGUGUGUGAAGAAGGCCUUCGGGUUGUAAAGCACUUUUGUCCGGAACGAAACGGGCCGAGCUAAUAUCUUGGCCUAAUGACGGUACCGGAAGAAUAAGCACCGGCUAACUACGUGCCAGCCGCCGCUGUAA